rnacentral:rRNA from 1 species
UACGGCCGCAAGGUUAAAACUCAAAUGAAUUGACGGGGGCCCGCACAAGCGGUGGAGCAUGUGGUUUAAUUCGAUGCAACGCGAAGAACCUUACCUGGUCUUGACAUCCACGGAAGUUUUCAGAGAUGAGAAUGUGCCUUCGGGAACCGUGAGACAGGUGCUGCAUGGCUGUCGUCAGCUCGUGUUGUGAAAUGUUGGGUUAAGUCCCGCAACGAGCGCAACCCUUAUCCUUUGUUGCCAGCGGUCCGGCCGGGAACUC